GUGGGGAAUAUUGGACAAUGGGCGAAAGCCUGAUCCAGCCAUGCCGCGUGUGUGAAGAAGGUCUUCGGAUUGUAAAGCACUUUAAGUUGGGAGGAAGGGCAGUAAGUUAAUACCUUGCUGUUUUGACGUUACCGACAGAAUAAGCACCGGCUAACUUCGUGCCAGCAGCCGCGGUAAUACGAAGGGUGCAAGCGUUAAUCGGAAUUACUGGGCGUAAAGCGCGCGUAGGUGGUUUUGUAAGUUGGAGGUGAAAUCCCCGGGCUCAAGCUGGGAACUGCCUCCAAAACUGCAUGACUAGAGUACGGUAGAGGGUAGUGGAAUUUCCUGUGUAGCGGUGAAAUGCGUAGAUAUAGGAAGGAACACCAGUGGCGAAGGCGACUACCUGGACUGAUACUGACACUGAGGUGCGAAAGCGUGGGGAGCAAACAGGAUUAGAUACCCGAGUAGUCC
rnacentral:rRNA from 1 species